AAAGCAGGGAUUGUGUGUAUCGGCUUUGUGCUACAAUCAGUGCACUCUGUUUCCGAAAGAGUUCCCUGCGAGAUAGAUCUGGGGAAGGUGGGCAGUUGUGUUUCCUCCCACCCGUUGAAAUUCUCAACAAUCAUCUUCCCCACAUCU